rnacentral:rRNA from 1 species
AACGAACGCUGGCGGCGUGCCUAAUACAUGCAAGUCGAACGCUUCUUUCCUCCCGAGUGCUUGCACUCAAUUGGAAAGAGGAGUGGCGGACGGGUGAGUAACACGUGGGUAACCUACCCAUCAGAGGGGGAUAACACUUGGAAACAGGUGCUAAUACCGCAUAACAGUUUAUGCCGCAUGGCAUAAGAGUGAAAGGCGCUUUCGGGUGUCGCUGAUGGAUGGACCCGCGGUGCAUUAGCUAGUUGGUGAGGUAACGGCUCACCAAGGCCACGAUGCAUAGCCGACCUGAGAGGGUGAUCGGCCACACUGGGACUGAGACACGGCCCAGACUCCUACGGGAGGCAGCAGUAGGGAAUCUUCGGCAAUGGACGAAAGUCUGACCGAGCAACGCCGCGUGAGUGAAGAAGGUUUUCGGAUCGUAAAACUCUGUUGUUAGAGAAGAACAAGGACGUUAGUAACUGAACGUCCCCUGACGGUAUCUAACCAGAAAGCCACGGCUAACUACGUG